GGAAGGAUCAUUAUUGAAAUAAACCUGAUGGGUUGUUGCUGGUUCUCUAGGGAGCAUGUGCACACCUUGUCAUCUUUAUAUCUCCACCUGUGCACCUUUUGUAGACCUUUUAGGUCUAUGUUGGCCCCAAUUACCCCAAUGUAUGUUAAUAGAAUGUUGUGACUAUAUAAUAUAUACAACUUUCAGCAACGGAUCUCUUGGCUCUCGCAUCGAUGAAGAACGCAGCGAAAUGCGAUAAGUAAUGUGAAUUGCAGAAUUCAGUGAAUCAUCGAAUCUUUGAACGCACCUUGCGCUCCUUGGUAUUCCGAGGAGCAUGCCUGUUUGAGUGUCAUUAAUAUAUAUAU
rnacentral:misc_RNA from 1 species